AUCUUGCUGGAGAUCUCUGUCUGCCUGUAGCCUUCUAAAGGGUCCUCAGUGCAGUUCAGAGACGCCUUGCCUUGUGUUUCUCCUGGCUUCUCCCACACCACCGCUGUUCACUGCUUGCCCACAGGCACCUUCAAGGCUAGAGAGCAACAUUUCCUCCAGACAUCACUAACUUGUCCAAAAAUACCCUAAGAAGACCUGCGUUGAAGGUCAGCUCUCAAAUUCCAUAAGCUACUGAGUUUACCCUUUCGAGUUCAACUGAGUUCACCCAAUAGUUCAACCGAGUUCAUCCUAUCAAGGAUCAAGCUUUUAACGCCGAAUAAGCAGUUACUGUGCCAAACACCUAUAUGACUUACUAUGAUUUAGAUGUACUGUAGAUAAUUGGUUUAGGGUCUUAAGUUCUACUUCUUUCAAUCUAACAGGAAAAAAAAAAGGGGGGGGGGGGAAUAAAAAGGGCAGGAAAUGGAAACUUUUCCUAACUAUACCAUUCAUCAACCUCCAAAAAUUUUUAUUUGUGCUUUCAGCAAAAGGUUAAAUUUUUGCAUUAGCUAAUUUUUAAAGCAAAUUUCUUCAAAAAGCACUUUAAAUGUGCAUCAGUAUUUACUAUAGAAAUGCAUUUUGAAGUUUCUUGCAGUUUUUCCAUGGCGAAAUAUUCUGCUUUUGAACAUCUUAUAGUGAUCUUAUUAAAUGACUUGCACCUCUGAUUUUUUAAGCCAAUGUGUGGAAUGAUAUGUCCUCAAAUGACUUCUGACCUUCUCUAUUCCCUUGAAAACCACACUGUUAAUACAGGUAUGUGCAUUUUACAGUAAAUAUUUUUCACUAUUAAAUGUGGUCACAAGAAGCCAAAGGUUACCAGCGUUGCCCAUGAAACCUGCAUAGCAGCUGGUAAAAUUAUGAAUACCCAGACUGUAGCAGUCAUUUUUCAUCUCCUUAUUUUCAAGCUAAAAUAACGUUAUAGCUUAUAAACUACAGCCCAAUAAAGUGAUGAACUCAGACAAUGCUCAGAGGGGAAGGAAGGAUGCCUUGGCACAAAUUAAGCGCAGUCAUUUAGGAUUUGUAAUAAAGUCUGGCAUUCUGCCCAUUUGCCAGCCAUUAAGUUAAGGGUCAUUUAAGCCACAAUCAAAAUUCUUUUGUUUGCUUUAAAGAAAUAAAGAGCUACUUUGAAUCGUUUAAAUCAUUAAAUCAUUGGAAGACACUUGUCUGUGUUUAAGAAAGGAUUCCUGCACUAAGCUGGUGUGGGUACUUUACCCUGACAGACUGUUUUCACACUGUAAAGCAGACUCUUCUGGGCGAAGUUUAGCACAGGGCUGUAAUGUACCAUAGCAGAGACAAAAAUGCAGUGAAGUAAUGUCAUCGGAUAACACUGAAAUGUUGGUGAGAAGGAAGCUGGCUGCUGACUAUCAUGCUCAGACGCACGGCAUACCUCUCAUCUGCCUCAUAGAGAGAGUCCUCCCCAGCUCCUGCAGACCUCAAGUCCAGAAUGCCUCUCAAGGUGUGAGCCCAAGGAGGGGCUGGAGCACAUCCAUCUUACUGGGCACGUGUGGCUGUGGAACAGCGUGAGCACUUCAGGCCAUGGUUUUAUGAACAUCUGAAGGGCUCACCAGGGCCAGCCCUUUCUUUUCCCACAGUCUUCCCUAUCUUAAUCAACUUUUUCCCUGUCCCAACUCACUCUGGACAAUUUGGGGGAUUUGGCAAUUUGUGAGGAAAAAAAAGGAUAUGUGGAUGGUAAUUCCGGCUCUGUGCCAGGCAGGAACUUCAUCACUCCCAGGAAAAUGGUGUAAAAACAGCAUUUAUAACAUGGAGAUGCAGUUCUACAGCUGGUAACAAUAAAAGAGGCUUCACUGUAUGAAAAGAUCAAGCUUUACACCUGUAUCAUCUAAAUCAGGUUGGUUUAAAUUCCAAUGCCUUCAGUUCUGCAAUACAUUUUCACCUAAGUUUAAUAUUGACUUCAUAGGGUGACCUUCAGCUUAUUUCACAGAAACCUUUUCUUUGGUCUUUUGGUGGGAGAAAAUUAAGAAUGAGGUUCUUGUGUGGGAGGAAUCACGGUAUGAAUGCUUGUUCAGAAUGUAGUAUUUAAUUUUGCCCUAUAUACAUGAAUUUCUCAGCGUAUUUGGUAUAUGUACCCAGAGCUUUCGGUGUAUUUUAAUUAUAUCUCAAUAAAUAUUGUGCCAGUUCCCAUCAUUAAUGUCUGGACCACAAGUUUGAUUGAAAUUUAAUUCAUUAUUGUUUAUUUCUAAUUGAUUUGUGUCUCACCCUGUUCCUUAUUUUUUGUGAGAGGUGCUGCUUCACCAGCAGGGCUGAUAAAUCCUAUGGCCUGAAAAGCAAAAAAAAAAAAAAAAAAAGAAGCUAUCACAUAUAUGCUGAAUUAUUCAUUUGAGAAUAAGUUUUAUUUAAUCUACUUUAUCUCAUGUAACUUACUUCUAAGACGUGGACUGAAU
ensembl:lncRNA